CGAGCGGACAGAAGGGAGCUUGCUCCCGGAUGUUAGCGGCGGACGGGUGAGUAACACGUGGGUAACCUGCCUGUAAGACUGGGAUAACUCCGGGAAACCGGAGCUAAUACCGGAUAGUUCCUUGAACCGCAUGGUUCAAGGAUGAAAGACGGUUUCGGCUGUCACUUACAGAUGGACCCGCGGCGCAUUAGCUAGUUGGUGGGGUAAUGGCUCACCAAGGCGACGAUGCGUAGCCGACCUGAGAGGGUGAUCGGCCACACUGGGACUGAGACACGGCCCAGACUCCUACGGGAGGCAGCAGUAGGGAAUCUUCCGCAAUGGACGAAAGUCUGACGGAGCAACGCCGCGUGAGUGAUGAAGGUUUUCGGAUCGUAAAGCUCUGUUGUUAGGGAAGAACAAGUGCGAGAGUAACUGCUCGCACCUUGACGGUACCUAACCAGAAAGCCACGGCUAACUACGUGCCAGCAGCCGCGGUAAUACGUAUGUGGCAAGCGUUGUCCGGAAUUAUUGGGCGUAAAGGGCUCGCAGCGGUUUCUUAGUCUGAUGUGAAAGCCCCCGGCUCACCGGGGAGGGUCAUUGGAACUGGGAAACUUGAGUGC
rnacentral:rRNA from 1 species